GAACGAGUUCCAGCUGGUGGCAACACCGGGCGAAGACCUAGUGGCGAACGGGUGAGUAACACGUGAGCAACCUGCCCCGAAGACCGGGAUAACACCGGGAAACCGGUGCUAAUACCGGAUGCCCCCACGAGAUCGCAUGGUCUUGUGAGGAAAUGGAUUCCGCUUCGGGAGGGGCUCGCGACCUAUCAGUUUGUUGGUGGGGUAACGGCCUACCAAGACGUCGACGGGUAGCUGGUCUGAGAGGACGAUCAGCCACACUGGGACUGAGACACGGCCCAGACUCCUACGGGAGGCAGCAGUAGGGAAUCUUGCGCAAUGGGCGAAAGCCUGACGCAGCAACGCCGCGUGAGGGACGAAUGCUUUCUGAGUUGUAAACCUCUUUCAGCAGGGACGAUUGUGACGGUACCUGCAGAAGAAGCACCGUCCAACUACGUG
rnacentral:rRNA from 1 species